UCCCAGCCCCCACACUACCCUUUAACUCUUCUGGGCUCCACAAGGCACGUACUUGGUGCUCAUACGUACAUAUAAGCAGAACAUAUACAAUGAGGCCUAAGGGGGAAAAGAAUCCAACCAGGGGGCGAGGCCGGAAGUUCAGCUGGAUCAAGUACGUGACCUCACACGGCGAUCAAACGCUGCGAUUAGAGUAGCGGCGACGCGCCGGGGAUACUCGGUCUUCCGGUCACGUGGCCUAUCAUGGCCGCCUCCAUGGCCCGUGGCGUGAGCGCCCGGGUCUUGUUACGGGCGGCCGGGGGAUCUUGGGGACCCAGGGCCGGGCACGCGGCAGUAACAUCUAGGACGUUCGGGUCUACAGGCGAGCGGCGUGCUGGCGAGGACGAGGCGGACAGCCCGGAGCUGCCCCGGGAUGUGGUCAACGUGGUGUUCGUGGACCGCUCUGGCAAGCGGAUCCCGGUGAGGGGCAGAGUCGGGGACAAUGUUCUUCAUCUGGCCCAGCGUCACGGGGUGGACCUGGAAGACUUGACAGUGUGGCAUCCUUUCACCCAGCUUAAGCCCGUGCCCGUCUGUCUGGGUAUUUAGUGGCCUCAGAGCUUGGUCUGUGUUUGCUCUCUGACGUCUCUCCCACAGUGAGCCUCAUUCAUACCAGCUGUAACUCCCAAGCCUCUGUAAGCAGGUCUGAGGGGCCUGCGAAGCGUCCCUGGCCUGUUCCACCUGCCACGUGUAUGUGAGUGAGGCCCACUUGGAUCUCCUACCACCUCCUGAGGAGAGGGAGGACGACAUGUUGGACAUGGCUCCACUGCUCCAGGAGAACUCGAGAC